ensembl:lncRNA
ACAGCUGACUUGAGUUGUCAGGAUGAGGACUGCCUAGCUGGCAACCAGAUGUACCUGUAGGUCAGAGAUGACUGAACUCUCUUCUGUCACCGUCCCACAGCCAGCUUCCUAAGCCUGGUGGGUGGGACUUCUGAUAAGCACUGCAAGAUGUCUGGAGCCAUGUGGUACAACCCAAAUAUAACAGCACCGGGCAGCCUGAGAGCAUUGUUCUCUGGUCACACAGGAAGUGUGUCUCUCUGAAUGUCACCCGGAGCCUUUCUGCACAAGGCAUAAUGAUGCCAGGAAAGGAAGCAGUAAGACAUUUUUGAACCACUGAGGAGAUUUUGGCACUGUGCAGUGCCCGGUGUGGGACAGUUCUGCCUUGCAGAAAGCAUAAUGGGAGCCCUCAUGAAUGAAGAUGUGCCUUUGCUGUGAAAACAGUGGUGCCUCUAAUUACAAGAGAAGCAUCUUCAGUCUUAGAGCCAAAUUCUUGAUAAGGAAAUGUCCUUGUUUAAGUGUAUCUAAUUGAGACCUGCACUCCAGCUCCAGCUCCAUACAUAGGUGAUGCUCAGCAGUUGUGUGGAAGUAAAAAUGACCCAGCUGUGACUUCUCGCCCAGCUCUAUGGUGCUUUACAGCAAAGCUGAUGAAGCCUAGAGGUGUCUGUCCUCACAAAACCUCACUGCAUCCCUCCAUGUGUUAUUGCUGCUCUGAGGGAUGGCAGAAAGCCCCCAUGGGGAUCUCUGCUUGAUUUUGGUGAGAUUUGAUGUUAAUUUGGGAUUACAAUUGAGCCUGAAUGUGGGAAAGAAAGAAGGCAGCUGUAGGUGCCUGCUGAGCUGUGAUGUGGCUCUUCUUCUCUGCCUGCUGUCACAGGUUGCCCUGCCCUGCAGCUGCUCAGACCCACAUGUAAACACUGAGCCACCAAACUCCUCUCCAAGUUACCUUUCAUCUCCUGGGAGCAGAGAGUGAAAGCAAAAUCUGCUUUGCUGUGUUCAGAGCUCGGCUGGCCACCUCUCUGUGAUGAAAGAUCCUGCUGCCUUCAUGUCGUGGCUUUGGGGCUGUCUGCUGGGGUUCUGUGCUCCCAUCGCAGUGUCUGGGGCCAAUUUUUGUGUUCUCUGACUCUAAUGCACGCAGAGUCCUUGUCCCAAACCUAGCAGUAAGGAAACUAGCUGUCUGCUCAGCUUUUCCAGAAAAAAAACUGAUGGCUGGGAGGCCCAGUCCCUACUUAAGAUGCUGCUAUGAUGCUUCUUGAAACUGGCUCCUGGGAGCUAGCAAUGAGACAAACUGUGUUUGGUUCCUGACCAAGUCUAUGCUUGCCUGUGACGCAAUUAGAGUGAAGUAAUACACGCUGCACAUAGAAUGGUCCAAAUUUCUCGUAGAGAUGAGUGUUAGAGCUGGGCAAAGCUCAGAACCUGUCCCUAGCCCAGUGGUAAUUGUAAGGUAUGGCAGUCCUUUGAAACUGCUUUUGUAUGCAGGGCUGGAAGGGGCCUCCUAACUGAUGCCCACUUACCUUCUAUUUUCUUCAACUUUGUUGACUAUUACUUUCCAUAAACAAGACAUGCUCUGUCUUCGAGGGGAGGGGCUUGUCCUCAUAGUAUUCCAGCUGAAAACCUCUCCAAAACCUGCAGGCUCUGUGACCAAGAAAGCAUCUUCUCCUUUCCAACCUGCCUUCCAUUGUGUCUGCUCCAUACUCAUUUAAUGUGCAUCAAAAAUUGUUCCUUUGCUUAAAAGUGUUCCAUUUCUCCCUCAGCAAGAGAAAACUCGGAACCCAGUGAGGAGGCUAACCAGUGGUUACCUCUCAGCAUCCCCAUGCAGUUUGCCCCAAACUGUAGCAACUCGCAUAUCUGAUGGUUAGAGCACUGGGUCUUAUAGCCCCAUAGGAUUAGCAAUAAGACAUAAGAAGAGAGAUUUCAGACAUUGCUAGGAUGUCCAGGGAGGCUGAGACUUACUGGCUUACCCCAGGGCACAUCAAAAAGACUGCCCUACUGCCCGAGCAUCCCUGUUCCUACCAUGUGAGGGUAGAUGUCAGAGAGGACUUGCAGUGGCCAGUGAGAGUUUCUAAGUCACUCACCUGCCAGCUGCACUCAGCCAAAGUUCAGAGAAGGUGAGUGGAAAGCAAACCUUUCUGUUUUCAUGACAACAUGUAUUUUAACCUGGCUAGAUUUGUUUUCCCAUUAAACUUAAAAGCCCUCUUGUUUUCAGCCUCCUAGAAGUGGCAGGAAGUACUCCUCCACCUUUGCAAUGCCUUUAGAGCCUGGCAUGUUGUCCCUGCUGAAUCUGGGCAGCUAUCUAAAUCAGUAAUGGGAACUCCACUGAUGCUGUCUGCUUCACAGAGACAAAAGCAAGAGAUCAUCCCAGCUCUGCAGGGCUGAUGAGCUGACGCAAGCAUGACCCCAUGCCAUCUCCACCUCUGGGAAGCCAGGCAGGUUGAUGCUCUGCUGAUAAACAUAUCUGUGGCUGAGGAGCUGUCUGCAGCGUGGCUUCCAUAAUUACUAACUCUAGUUCAAAGACUUUUAUGCAAAGGAACAAUGGGGACCAAAACAGUGUUGCAGUGUGUUAUGUACCACAGUGAUUUGCUGUGAUGGAAAGGCUUGCCCUGUCAGACAAGCCUGCUUUUUGUGCCUCUGUCCUCUUCAUAGCACAGAGGUAAUUCCUACCAGUAAGGAGGCUAUUGUUCAUCUUUCAAGAUGGAUGUUUAAGAAGAUGAAAACAAGUUUUCUCAAAAAGGAAAAUGCCAGCCAAAUUGUCCUGAGUGAGUGUGCAGGAGACACCUGUGUUUUUGCCUCAUUUUCCUGCCUUCCCUUGGUAUCGAGGCUCAUGGCCUUUCUGCUCUCAGCAGGAUGUAGACGACUCUGGGCCAUGACCCACCAGCUGGCCAGGCCCUGGCAUCUCAGAGUGUUCAUCAUGCUGCUUUUGCUGCAGCCUGGCAGUCAGUGACCAACAUUACAACUGGGCAGCCCCCCUACAGCCAGAGCCGCAUCCAUUUUGCAGAGAAAUGCUUUGUUUAAAUCAGUCAUACUCUAUUCAGUCAGCACUGAUCAGACAAAGUUCACCCCAGCUGUGGUCACCUGGAGAGGCUGUAAAACUUUUUGAAUUAUAUUACCCCUUAAUGACUGCCAUGUAUUUGCUGAGACAUGGUUUAUUUCCAGUUAAUUGCUUCCUUCCCAAUACAAACCCAGAAUAGAAGCCCAGUGUAUUUGCACCCUGAAUGCAGAGCUACGGGCAGCACCUUCAAAUUAUCACUAAAUAACAGAAAUCUAUCCUGGCUGGUGGUCUGCUGGGAGGGGAAGAGGAGAAUGAGAGAAGCAGUGGCAUCUAGGCUCAGAGCUGUAAGGGCUGGAGGGGUGGCUCAUUUCUUCUCAUCAAGAAGAUGGAGAUCCUGGAGAUGUCCAAGUCAGAAGUGUGGUUGGGUUGUUCCAGGGUUCAUCCACACUGACUGUUGAGAAUGGAUCUGUGGUCCAUCAGCUCUGUCUGCACUGCACGAGAUGCUCACCAAAAGAAUACUGUUUCACUCUAAAAUUCAAUGGAAAAAGCUCAUCUAAAGAAAAAGAAAUAAUAAUGUGAAAUUGCCUGGCCAGAACCAGCUUGUAACCUUAUUCUCAGUUCCAUCAGGUGAGGUGAAAAGACAGGGAUGUGAAAUACAUGGAGUGGGUAGUAGCUGGGGCUUGCUGCAUACCUGGAGUUUCCCAAGUGCAGAAUGACCAAAGGCGCUGAGGUCUCGGGGCAAAAGGGAUGUCUGGAAGAACCUCACAGGGGGAAGUGAUUUUCUGUGAGUCACCCUCAGCUCAGGUCUGAUAUCCCUGCCUAAAGAUGCAAAGGUAAUUGUGUCUGAUUAAUGCUGGCAAAUCUCUGUGAACUUCAGUGAGGAUAUGAAAGGACUGACAUGUCUCUUUGAUAUGGGGGUAAGAUAGAGUACAGCCGAGUGUGGGAAGAAAACUAAGCUGAGAUGUAGUUUUUAAUUACCAAUAAAGCCAUGCUCUAGGACAGAGGGUUGAGGGCCAGACUUGGUCUCUUCCUACUGUUAUGCUCCUUCAAGCAUGGAGAGGAGGUUGGGAAAGAGCAGCUAAUGCUCACUGUGGAGUCAUAUUUGUAAUACUGGAAUGUUCAUGCUGGCCCCUCUUCCCUUCUGUAAUUAUUUAUACCACAGCUGUGGCCAAAGACUCCCGGUGGGUGCCAAUAAAAUACUGAAGGGCAGCAUAAGUGAGCUCAGCACUUAGCAGAAGCAAGCUGUCCCUUCACCAGCUGACCACCUGGAUGAGGAGCGAGGAAGGCUGGGCUCUGGGCUCUACUGUUCCCUGCUCAGAACAUUCCCUGUUUUCCAGAACAUGCAGUCUCAGGUUUCCUUCACCACCUCUGAAGGUUGGAGAUGUUUGCUUUAGAUGAAUUCUGUGUUUCCUCCUUGAUUACCUGAACACGAGAGUGGAGCUGUGAUCACAGUGUUUGGUUUCCCAGAUCUACUGAAUUCAUGAAAGGCAGUUACGGAUGGUCAGUCUCUGGACACAUCUCAG